AUUAAACGCUGGCGGCAUGCCUUACACAUGCAAGUCGAACGGUAGCGCGGGGCAACCUGGCGACGAGUGGCGAACGGGUGAGUAAAGCAUCGGAACGUGCCCUGGAAUGGGGGAUAACGUAGCGAAAGUUACGCUAAUACCGCAUAUUCUGUGAGCAGGAAAGCAGGGGAUCGCAAGACCUUGCGUUCUGGGAGCGGCCGAUGUCGGAUUAGCUAGUUGGUGGGGUAAAAAGCCUACCAAGGCGACGAUCCGUAGCGGGUCUGAGAGGAUGAUCCGCCACACUGGGACUGAGACACGGCCCAGACUCCUACGGGAGGCAGCAGUGGGGAAUUUUGGACAAUGGGCGGAAGCCUGAUCCAGCCAUGCCGCGUGAGUGAAGAAGGCCU
rnacentral:rRNA from 1 species